rnacentral:lncRNA from 1 species
CGCGCCUGCGCGUUCAGCCAGUUGUCGCGCCGACCCUGCGGACGCGCUCGUUGCCUUCGCGGCGCCGUGGCCCUGAGAUGUGCAGCUGCAGGGCUUGCUGGUUCCAGGGGCCAGGGACCAUAAAGAGUUGUUGGGAGCUCCGGGCAGAAGAUUCCCUACUGCACUCACUACAUACACUGAACCCUCACCUACUGUUCUGUUUAAUGGGCCACUAGGAAGCCAGUUCUUCUUUUUGCUUCUUGCUUACUCUGUUGCAUAGGUGAAUAAAGGCUUGAUUAUUACUUUCAAUUUGGCUCAUUGUCCUGAUUGCCUACCUUGAAUUGCUCACCAGAUAUAAGAUAAAUUGCCUAACAGAAAUUAGAUAAAUUUCUGAGUUCUUAGUUGCUCACUGUAUUUUUUAAUUUAAUCUUAAUCCUUAUUACUUUUGCUCUGUGCAGCAUGCUUAGCUUUUUUAGAGGCUGUUCACCUGUAAAUCUGGCAUUCUCUAAUAGUGCUGUGAAAAAUGGAUGUUCAUCGCACUAACCACUAACUGUUGUGAUGAUUGAUUGUUGUUGGAUUAUAUGUUGUGUUUUACAAAUUAGUACAGUGAUUAUAGUCAUUCGCAUUUAUUUGUGUGGCUCAUUUUACAUUUGGCCUCUCUUAGAUGAUUUUUAAAUAAGUACUUUGGAGUAAUACAAAUACUAAAAAACUGGACACUGAUGCCCAGGAUCUUUAUUGCCUAAUAGAUUACUUGGCCACUGUAAAUAGGCAACUGAUUUUGUUAUAGAUUCCCCUGUGUGUCAAGAGGUAUGGUAGG